rnacentral:lncRNA from 1 species
CGUCUCAAAGACAGCAGCGGAAAUGAGGACUGCUAAGAACACAGUGAUCUUUCCAACAUUACUGAGCCAUUCGGGAUUACAGCUGUUAAAUGCAAGCACAAGCAGAGUUGAACAGUUCCAAGACAGCCUUCUGAAAGCACUCUGCUUCCUUACAGCCCAGGCGAUGACUUCUCAGUGCAGCAGGACUGAUAAUUUUAGCCCAGGAGUACUCUCAGCAUUACAGAUGCAUUUUACAAUUUUGCUGCUUCCAGCAAUUACGUUAUUUCCAUAUUAGCCUCUUUCUACAUACUAGCCAGAGCAGGUUGCAGAGCAAAAGAAAAAAGAAAGUGAGGCCCAAAGAACAUUGUUUCAAAAAACAUUUGUGAUGCAGCCAGGAAAAAAACACAGAAGCACCCUGCCUCAUGAAUUCUGUAUCUGUGAGUUGUGCCAGGCAAGAAAUGAGACUCGGUAUGCUUUUAUACUUUACGUUGUCAAAACUCAUUGAAAAUUAAUAUAAGUAAUAUUUUUAUCUCUGCAUGAUAGCAAGGGGUUUUAGAUAUGGUGUUCUGUAUUCAAAUGGGAUUUUAAUGUAGUAUCAGAAAGAUUGUGAUAAAGAGCUUUACAAAUCUCCUAAUAUAUUAAAUGUAGGUGUUCCUAGAAGUUGGAAAAUCUUCAAAAGCAAGUUUAAGGUCAGUUUAAUUUAGUUACCUUUGCUGAGGUAAAAGAGCAUCUGAAUUAAAUAUAAUGACCCGCCUCUUCCACAAACAGUUUUGUAAGGCAGGAUUCUCCCAGAGCUCCAAAAACAGUCUUAUGGGAUUUCCUUGCUGGAUGAGUAUAGUGUGUGGAGGUUGUAUGAGCAAAUGCCUUAGAGAAAGGUAGAUCAGCAUCACUGCUUAAGAAGAUUAAUUCUUUAAAAGCUACUUAUGGGAGAGGUGAUCUUUUAUGUGUGAACCAAAAGCAAUUAAUUAAAAUGGGUCAAUUAGCCUUUCAAAUACAACUGCAUUCAGAGUUCUGGUUUUUAUGUAUUCAUGCAUGAAACUGUAAAAUAAAGGUAGGGGGGAAACCUACA